rnacentral:rRNA from 1 species
GAUGGACGCUGGCGGCGUGCCUAAUACAUGCAAGUCGAGCGAACGGACGAGAAGCUUGCUUUUCUGAUGUUAGCGGCGGACGGGUGAGUAACACGUGGAUAACCUACCUAUAAGACUGGGAUAACUUCGGGAAACCGGAGCUAAUACCGGAUAAUAUUUUGAACCGCAUGGUUCAAAAGUGAAAGACGGUCUUGCUGUCACUUAUAGAUGGAUCCGCGCUGCAUUAGCUAGUUGGUAAGGUAACGGCUUACCAAGGCAACGAUGCAUAGCCGACCUGAGAGGGUGAUCGGCCACACUGGAACUGGGACACGGUCCAGACUCCUACGGGAGGCAGCAGUAGGGAAUCUUCCGCAAUGGGCGAAAGCCUGACGGAGCAACGCCGCGUGAGUGAUGAAGGUCUUCGGAUCGUAAAACUCUGUUAUUAGGGAAGAACAUAUGUGUAAGUAACUGUGCACAUCUUGACGGUACCUAAUCAGAAAGCCACGGCUAACUACGUG